UCUUGCGCAUUUAGUUCGCGGCGCAGGGGAGUGGUACACAAAAAAGUUAGCGCGGAAACCGAGUCCUCGGAUGUUUAGCCUCUUCAAGGUUUCGUCACAGAGAUAGGCAAGUUUUGUGUAACUUCUGAGGAGUGAAUUACGGUGCGUGGCCCGUCGAGGGAAAAGCGAUCGUAAGGAAGGGGAAUGCCGCGGAAGAAAAGAAUCCAGGUUCCGCGAUUUCCAGCGCGUUUCCGGUUAGCGGAUACCCGGCAUGGAACCAACUGGCAUAACGGAGAACAAUGGAAAGCGAAUAUAAUGAAAGCAAACGAGCUGCAACCACGCUCGAGUGAAUCAGCAAUGCUGAUGAAGUUAACAAUUAAUUACUUUCGUGUAUCACACGCGGCGCUUGGAAACAGUCAAGCACAAUAAAUCAUGAACAUUAUCUAUAGAACAGAGAUGUGCAUCGAGUAAACAAUCUAUCUUGGAAAUAUUAACACUUUACCGAAGGAAACCUAUUUGUAAACGACUGUGCUGAAACGGAGUUUCGGAAUCUUUCAUUAAGUAAUGAUACUAUUGGAAGUUAUUAGUUAGCACUACUCAUGGUGAUUUGCUAUUUUACUAUCUAAAUUGUUAUUGCUAUUUACAUGUUUAUUAAAAUCUUUGCAUAACGUGUUAACGUAACUUAGUCAUUGUGAUGUAAACUGUUAACGUGACUGAGUCACCGUGGUGAUUAGUAGGCUGCGGAUUUUAUGCAUUUAUAACAAAAAUGAGUAGCUGAAAUAUGAAAUUAUGAAGACAUAAGAAGAAUCUGAUAAUAAUGUUACAGUGUUUUGACCUUAUGAAGAUUAUCGAAAGAAAUAAUUUAUUUUCAUUUAAUUUCUGUUUUCUACAAUUGCCUUGGAAAAUUUUUAUUUUACACAAAGAUCCGCAGUCUAGUGAUUAGAAAUUGACGAACUCUACGUUUAAGAUAUGUUAGCCGUUCUAAGUAUAAGUUGUUAGCACGACAAGCAUAAUGUUGGAUGUGGCACAUCUGGCUCAUUUUCAAAUUCUCAUAAUCCCGAGUCUCGUGUUACAGUACUUGCUGCACGGUUAAGAACAGCUUAUAGGAGCCCCAUAUACAUGUUUUAUACUGAUUGUGAACGAUUCAAUCACGUUCCGCAGGUGAUCAUAUGUAGUAGGCUUGAAGUAGGAGCUCCGGAAAUAUUAUUUUCGUUAACAAAAUCUUAUUUCGUUGCAGUAAAUGGCAAUUGGUAACGAAAUAAAUGACCAAACGUCACAAGAUAGGGAAAAAUAGAAAGAUGCGAAAAAUAAUUAUUUUUAUACACAAGGAAUGGGUUAAGUUAAAUUAGAAAAUCGAAACAUAUUUCAAAGAAGGCUAACAUACCUUCUUUCUUCCUGUAUUUUUGAAAAAUGUUCACACUUUGUUUUUCUCUUAAGCUGUUUUCUGUUUUAUAAACAGGUUUGCUGAAAUUAGGAAAUUGCAGCAAGUCUUAACAAUUACACAUAAAAGUACAUAUAUAUCUUAAGUACAUCUCUUUACAACUUAUCUACUUUCUAAGUAUUACGAAUAAAUCAUACAGAAAUAUCCAACGAAA